AGCGAACGCUGGCGGCAGGCUUAACACAUGCAAGUCGAGCGCCCCGCAAGGGGAGCGGCAGACGGGAGAGUACCACGUGGGAACAUACCUUUUGGUUCGGAACAACUGAGGGAAACUUCAGCUAAUACCGGAUAAGCCCUUACGGGGAAAGAUUUAUCGCCGAAAGAUUGGCCCGCGUCUGAUUAGCUAGUUGGUGAGGUAACGGCUCACCAAGGCGACGAUCAGUAGCUGGUCUGAGAGGAUGAUCAGCCUCACUGGGACUGAGACACGGCCCAGACUCCUACGGGAGGCAGCAGUGGGGAAUAUUGGACAAUGGGGGCAACCCUGAUCCAGCCAUGCCGCGUGAGUGAUGAAGGCCUUAGGGUUGUAAAGCUCUUUUGCCCGGGAAGAUAAUGACGGUACCGGGAGAAUAAGCCCCGGCUAACUUCGU
rnacentral:rRNA from 1 species